AACGUAGGAGACAAACGUUAUCCGGAGUUACUGGGCGUAAAGGGCGUGUAGGUGGUUUCGUAAGUCUGGCGUAAAUAUCUCGGCUUAACCGAGGCAGGUCGUCGGAUACUGCGGAACUGGAGGACGGUAGAGGCGUGUGGAAUUCCGGGUGUAGUGGUGAAAUGCGUAGAGAUCCGGAGGAACACCAGUGGCGAAGGCGACACGCUGGGCCGUACCUGACACUGAUGCGCGACAGCAUGGGAGCAACAGG
rnacentral:rRNA from 1 species